AUUGAACGCUGGCGGCAGGCCUAACACAUGCAAGUCGAACGAGUGGCGGACGGGUUAGUAAUGUCUGGGAAACUGCCUGAUGGAGGGGGAUAACUACUGGAAACGGUAGCUAAUACCGCAUACCCUCGGAUGUGCCCAGGUGGGAUUAGCUAGUAGGUGGGGUAAAGGAUCACCUAGGCGACGAUCCCUAGCUGGUCUGAGAGGAUGACCAGCCACACGGUAACGGAGAAAGUGGCCAGACGCCUACGGGAGGCAGCAGUGGGGAAUAUUGCAUAAUGGGCGCAAGUCUGAUGCAGCCAGGCCGCGUGUAUGAAGAAGGCCUUCGGGGGGUAAAGUACUUUCAGCGGGGAGGCGUUACCCGCAGAAGAAGCACCGGCUAACUCUGUGCCAGCAGCCGCGGUAAUAC
rnacentral:rRNA from 1 species